CUCGUGUUUUCAAAAUCAACCAGCCUCAGGUAUUUCACCAUCAGCAGCAGAGAAUGGAUUACUACAAUGGUAUUUUGGAAACAAUUACAGACAGGAAAAAAUUAAUGAAGCAGAACUGCAGAGGAGAGGAUUCAGGAAGAAACAGGCUUUGAUGAGGAAGAGCAGAAGGAGUGUGGCGUGCUGGGUGGAAGAGUUCUGAAGCUGAGCUCAAGUUUUCACCCUACAGUUGCUGAGUGGAAGGCAGAGGCCAGUCUUCUGAUGUGAGCCCUGAGAUGCAAUGGCUCAGUGGAGUUAGAUGUCGGAACAAGCAGCCCAUCAGUUUGAGAAACUGAGUGAAACGUCCUAAAGAAUUGCUUUGCAUAUUCUCUGAAAGAUGAGCAUGAGAUCUCCCAGCUGUUUCUCCACAGUCUGACAAGUCAUGCUGUGAGUGGCAUAUGUUCGCAGGCUCUUUUCUAGCCCAUCCUGGCUGCAGACAUCAAAGUCGGCUUCCCAACUAACUGUCUGUGACUGGGAAGCCAUAGAAGACUAGGUGUUUGCACCAACUGAGCAAAAAUGCAAGCCACCUCUACUACUCUAUGAACACUUAUUCUUCUCAGAAGCAGCCAUGACCCUGGAAAUUACAGUGGGAAACUGCUAGAAAACAGAAGAGCAGUGAGCCCCACCGAGUUGCUCUCCAGUUGUGCGUAUCUGGGAGCUCUGCCAGACUCCUGAAAAGCUCAGAUAUUCCCGAGAGCUCUCAUCACCUACCUCCCAGUUGUCGGUGAAAUGGAAGAGAGUUUUUUUGAGACUAUGCUAGCAACAGCCAUGGCAGAGCAAGAUGAAUACUGGGAGUAAAGAAACAGAAUGUGUUUCUGCUUUGCCUGAAAGAGUCCAGAGGUUGCAGAAGUUGAAACCUGAAGAAAAUAGUGAAGCGAAGCCCUGGACCACUACAAAAAGGGCAGAUUUGCAGAAGGGAGAGAAGAGUGUCGUCCCUUUGUCUGUAAUACCCGAGUUCGAAAAGAAUCAGUAAAUAUGGGCAACGUUUUAUCAAAAGUGAUUUGCUUUCAAUCAUUUAUCCACAAAGAUUUGCACGUGUUUACCACCAGAUAUAAUCUUUGCAGAAAGUUAGAAAUGAAUUUUCUUUUAGAAUGAUUAAAUGCCUUUAGAACACUUAACAAGAGGUUAUUUUUUACUGUCAGUGUAAUCUAACCAGACAGCAGAUGCCACAGCUUACAAAAUAACGCCCCCUUAAAAUAUA